rnacentral:rRNA from 1 species
CUCUAAUGAGACUGCCGGUGACAAGGCCGGAGGAAGGUGGGGAUGACGUCAAGUCCUCAUGGCCCUUAUAGGUGGGGCUACACACGUCAUACAAUGGCUGGUACAAAGGGUUGCCAACCCGCGAGGGGGAGCUAAUCCCAUAAAGCCAGUCGUAGUCCGGAUCGUAGUCUGCAACUCGACUACGUGAAGUCGGAAUCGCUAGUAAUCGUGGAUCAGAAUGUCACGGUGAAUACGUUCCCGGGUCUU